rnacentral:rRNA from 1 species
UACGUAGGGUGCAAGCGUUGUUCGGAAUUACUGGGCGUAAAGCGCGCGUAGGCGGGUUUGAAAGUCGAUUGUGAAAGCCCUAGGCUUAACCUGGGAAUUGCAGUCGAAACGUCAAAUCUUGAAUGUCUGAGAGGAUGGCGGAAUUCCCGGUGUAGUAGUGAAAUGCGUAGAUAUCGGGAAGAACACCUGAGGCGAAGGCGGCUAUCUGGCGGUACAUUGACGCUAAGGCGCGAAAGCGUGGGGAGCAAACAGG